ensembl:snRNA U1 U1 spliceosomal RNA
AUACUUACCUGGCAGGGUAGAUACCAUGAUUACAAAAGUGGUUUUCCCAGGGUGAGAUUUAUCCAUUGCACUCUAGAUGUGUUGACCCCUGCAAUUUCUCCAAAUGUGGGAAACUCAACUGCAUGAUUUGUGGUAGUGGGGGAGUAUGUUUGCACUUUCCCCGA